AUAUUCCAACUGCGAUGCAUGUGGAGUCGCUCCAGCCAGGAGUCGUCAGAUUGGGAAUCAGGCAAAACAGUUCACCAGGAGAAAAAUCUAUAUGUUAUGCCAUUUUUAAUGAGUCCAUCUACUUUCAAUAUAAGUAGUUUAAGCCACAUGUUGGGCGCCAAAUAACAAAUGCACAAAGCUUUCCUGUUGCAAGUUUUAAUUGAUCAGGAGUCAUGAACCAUCAUGUGUCGCGACUCAGAAUUGGAGCCACCAGGCGCGUCUGAUUAUCGGCAGGACAACGACAACUGCGAACUGAAAACUGAAAAUGCGAAGACGACGACGAUGAGACGGCAUAGGGCAUAACUCAGAUGCUCUGCUAUGAUAAUUUCCAAUAAGACCCGCCGUCGCUCUCCACCCCGAUCUGCAGCAAUCCCCGAUCCGUGGUCCGUGGUCCGCUGAUCUGCUCUGGAAAUUGAUGAUGCCGGGAGAACAGAUCAUACCGGAAAGUGUAUAUAUGGAAGUUCUGGAAGAGGUUCGAAAAGACCAGAAUCAACCACGGAAAGCGUGGGUACUACAUUAGAAAAUCACCCACCUGGAAUCGAGACAACUGCCGGCCCUGACUAGAAUAGCAAGAUGAUUAAAUGUUACUGCUGGCUGAUCCAAUUAAGUGGCGUAUAAUAACAAAACCAACUCAACACGAAAGUCGUUUGGAAAAAGUGUGCCACUUGUUUGUGUAAGACAGCCUAAUAAAAUCUAUUUAAAGCUCA